UUCUUUAUAGCUUGCUAUGGAGGAUAAUUAGUGGCAGACGGGUGAGUAAUGCAUAGGAAUCUACCUAGUAGUAUGGGAUAGCCACUAGAAAUGGUGGGUAAUACUGUAUAAGUCUGCGGGGGAAAGAUUUAUCGCUAUUAGAUGAGCCUAUGUUAGAUUAGCUAGUUGGUAGGGUAAAGGCCUACCAAGGCGAUGAUCUAUAGCUGGUCUGAGAGGAUGAUCAGCUACACUGGAACUGAGAUACGGUCCAGACUUCUACGGGAGGCAGCAGUGGGGAAUAUUGGACAAUGGGCGCAAGCCUGAUCCAGCUAUGCCGCGUGAGUGAGGAAGGCCUUAGGGUUGUAAAACUCUUUCAGUAGGGAAGAUAAUGACGGUACCUACAGAAGAAGUCACCGGCAAUCGCCGUGCCAGCAGCCGCGGUAAUACGGAGGGGGCAAGCGUUGUUCGGAAUUA
rnacentral:rRNA from 1 species